UGUAUUUGUGUGUGUGUGUGUGUGUGUGUGUGUGUGUGUGUGUGUGUGUGUGUGUGUGUGUGUGUGUUAUAUGUAUGAUUUAGCUCCACUUGUAUAAUAGGGCUAUACAAUUGUUUAUGAAUGAUAACUGCAAACACAACUUUGGUUAGAAUU